rnacentral:rRNA from 1 species
GACGUAGGGCGCGAGCGUUGUCCGGAUUUAUUGGGCGUAAAGAGCUCGUAGGCGGCUUGUCGCGUCGUCCGUGAAAACCUGCGGCUCAACUGCAGGCUGGCGGUCGAUACGGGCAGGCUGGAGUUCGGUAGGGGAGACUGGAAGUUCCUGGUGUAGCGGUGGAAAUGACGCAGAUAUCAGGAGGAACACCGGUGGCGAAGGCGGGUCUCUGGGCCGAUACUGACGCUGAGGAGCGAAAGCGUGGGGAGCGAACAGG